CUUGGGGCUGGCCAGGGAGAGUCAUAUAAGGUGUCUCUGGGGGGCCCCUCCAGGCAGUGGGGCCCCCAGACGACUGUCUCCCCCUGCCUAAUUGUAAUUCCACCCAUGGAUCUGACUCCGUAGACAGCAGCUUCCUCUGAUAGUGCUCAGUGGAAGAGCCUCUGCUUUGCCUGCAGAACGUCCCCGGUUCCCUCCCUGGCAGCAUCUCCAGCCUAACCUCGAAAACCUGAACAAAGCAAGGACUCUGAAAGGAUCGAAGAAGAAAGAGCUAUUUCAAGACGCCAGGAAAAGCACCUUUUAGUGUGGGGUUGGCUAGUUCCUGCCGGAUCAGAAUCAGAACAAUAGUCCCUCUACACUUGCUGGAAGAGCCCCGGGUUCCUUUCCUUGUAGACCUCUGCCAGCGUCUACAGCUCGGCUGUAUUCAUUGAAAGCCUACAGAUGCUGUAAUUCGAGUGCUCCCUUGACCUCCUUCUUGACAAACGGAAAAGACUUAACUAUCCCGAUGUUAACACUCGCUGGAUUUCUUAGAGGCCUCUUCAAAUUUUCAACAGCUCUUCAGAAACGUGGCGUCCAUACAGCAUCGCAGUAUCAUCUUACUGCUUCUUUUGAGAAUGGGAAAUUUUUCUCUCUCCUCUCUCUUUUCUUUUGCAUGUGACUCAUUCCUUCCCUGUUAAAUCAUCCUGGGAUCACGUUUGCCUUUUUUGCCACAGAUUCACACAGCAGGCUCCAGGUCUGAGGUCUCUCAAAUCCACUCUGAUUUCUAGUUCCGUCUGCUAUUUUCUCUCCUGAUGCUCAUGGAUUCUCUUUAUUUUCUUUAUUUUUAUUUUAGUUUUACAUUUAUUCCCCACACUUUCUUCAAGGAGCCAAGAGCGGUGUAUGUGGUUAUGCUUAUUCUCACAACAACCCUCUGAGGCAGGUUAGGCAGAAAGAAAUGACUGCUUGCUGAGUAGUGUUAUAGCUGGUCAGAGACUGUAAUAAAGUUGAUUCGAUUCGA